UACGUAGGGUGCGAGCGUUGUCCGGAAUUAUUGGGCGUAAAGGGCUCGUAGGCGGUCUGUCGCGUCGAAAGUGAAAACUCAGGGCUUAACCCUGAGCCUGCUUCCGAUACGGGCAGACUAGAGGUAUGCAGGGGAGAACGGAAUUCCUGGUGUAGCGGUGAAAUGCGCAGAUAUCAGGAGGAACACCGGUGGCGAAGGCGGGUCUCUGGGCCGUUACUGACGCUGAGGAGCGAAAGCAUGGGGAGCGAACAGG
rnacentral:rRNA from 1 species